rnacentral:rRNA from 1 species
UACGGGGGGGGCAAGCGUUGUUCGGAAUUACUGGGCGUAAAGGGUUCGUAGGUGGCCCGCUAAGUCACACGUGAAAUCCCUCAGCUUAACUGGGGAACUGCGUGUGAGACUGGCAGGCUUGAGUGCAGGAGAGGAACGCGGAAUUCCAGGUGUAGCGGUGAAAUGCGUAGAUAUCUGGAGGAACACCGGUGGCGAAGGCGGCAUCCUGGACCGAGAUUGACGCUGAGGCGCGAAAGCCAGGGGAGCAAACGGG